rnacentral:lncRNA from 1 species
UUUCAGGCAGGCAGCAGAUUUGCCCUCUUUCCUUCCCCGGAGGAGAUUAGAUUGGCCCCCUCCCCCACUUCAAACCGACGGAGAAAGCCACAUCAAUUCGACAAACACUCGCAGGGCAAGAACAUCCCAGCCCCGAUCAGAACCCUAUCUCAAAGACGACCAGGGGACGAAACCGAGAUCGGCGAUCUCUCAGGCUCGAAGUGUACGGCUUCCGCCAGGACCUCGCCGCAUUCCGUCUCCACCAAUCGCAGGAACUGAACGCGAAAUCGGCAACCUCCGAGGGUGAAAUCCUUCCACGCCCAUAUUACGGAGGAACAAACCCGUCCCCCCCAUUCGCCGGAUCGUCAGAGGCGAAAAUCAAGACCCCAAAUCACCAGAAUCCCUGGAAAAACGCAGCAAACCGACGGGCAGGAGGGGUCGGCCGACUUACAGGGGGCGGCGGCGGAGUCGCCGGAGCGAAACCAGAGAGCAUCAGGGAGAGGAGAUCAUAAAUUCCGGCGAGUUGGUCGUAUUCCCGGAGGCGUCGGCGGAGGAGGAAGAAGGUGG